UCCGACAGUCUCCAGCUGAUCGAGGUCUGCCUGGGUUCUUCAUCUGUACCAUCUCCUGCCACCCGAUCGGAAGAGCACACGUCUGCAC